GUGUGUGUUUACAUAUAUCAGUUUGAUAAGUGCUAAACACACAAGACUUUCAGAACUUGAGUCACUUUGUUGCUUCUGCUAAAUAUUAAUAACAAUAUACAUAUACUCAUAUUCUGAGUUCCAUUUUUCAUGUUUGCAUCACUAUA